AAAACACCCAUUGUGACACAGUUCCUUCAUUUUCAUUUCUGAAAAAACCAGAAUGCUUUAGGAUGAAAAUAAUAUAAAGGUAACAGACCCAAAACAGCUUCAAAAGAUCAUGUGCUAUCCUAGAUCAUGUUCACUCAUAUGUGCUGUUUUGAUGACUCUCUUCUGUACCGGAAUUGGCAAUUUCAAUUCAUCAAAUGAUAAGGUUCAUGAUUUGACUAAUUUGGUGGCAACGAAAGAUAUAUUGGAUGAUGCCGUCCAUGAUUAUCUUCAGGGACAGGAAAAGCGAUAAGCCACUCACAGGAAAUAUAUGAAAGAUUAUUCGAAGGAACACGAGGAGGGAAUACGUAAUAUCUUAUAUCAUAUUUUAAAUUCUAAAAUAUAAAAAAAAAGUUGACGACAAUUUCCAUGCAAUUAUAAAUAUUAUUUCCAUUUGAAUACUUUAAGUAUGAUAUUUAAUUUAAAGAAAACAGCAAUAUUGGUUCAAAGUUUCUCAAUAUCUGAUUGAAAAGUCACCCAAAUUCUGAGUAAUACAAAUCCGAAAAGUUAUGUUGAUAAUGAUGUGGAGAUUGCGGAAAAAGCUGUGGAAGGCGACCCCAGACUAAGACAUCUAUCUCAAAUGCUCCGAAAUAUCCGUAUUGUUGAUAUUUUGGAUAAAAAAUGGUGAAGUGCCUUUGUUUUGGUUGUAAAUCGGAAUAUAAAAGAUAUCGGGAGCAAGACAAAGCUAAAAAAUUCAUUUUUUCAAAGCGCCAAAUUAUCCAAAUAUUCUUAAAGAAUGUCAAAGAGCUAUUUUAAGUGAUAAUAUCCAACUAAAAUCUGGUGAUGCAGUUUAUUCGUUACACUUCAACCCAGAAUAUAUCAUCUGAGAAAAGGUUUUUACGGGACUUGUUGAAAGUGUUGUAGCAACGGCGCCGUAUGUCGGGCCACACCUACGAAAAGGAGCCCUGCCAGCUUUAAAACUUGGUCGUCCGGAAAAACCUGGUCCCAAACCUCGUUCUUUGUGCUUGAAAAUAAAGAAAAAUGGAAGUCAUACGGAAAAUAACAUUUGCAAAAAGAUCAAAAUUUAAAGAGAAUUGAAUAUGAUCAAACUGAAAAUGCUGAUUCUCCCGCUAAAGAACUGGAUCAUUUUGCACUCUUAUUGAAACACAAAUUUGAAAUUUUGACCUGUGUCCACAUGCCAAUUUCGUGGAUGAGAGCAAAUGUUACUUAGGUUAAUCGCCCAGGUAUAGCAUUUUUACGCGAAUUGGAGCAAGAGGCAAAAAUGAAUACGUCGAUUCGAUCUGCAAUAAGAAAAUCACAAUUGACGAUAGUAUGACUAUUGAUCAAAUUAAACGGUAAAUCUAUUGAUCACACAGAGUUUGGGUUUCAAAUUGAGCAGCUGCAUUCCGCAAAAGACGUCGAAGAUUUUAUUGAACUUGUGCAUAACAGAAAGAUGUGUCGAGGUUGCCUGCACAUAAUUCUGCAUGCAGAAAACUCGAAUAACUUCUCAUCGUUUAGUUACCUGGAUAAAGUAGACACCUUGCGACAUAUGCGCUGUUCAUUAAUUCUACCCACUGGUCAAGAGGGCAAGGAAAAGGAAAAAUGCAAAUAUUGCAAGACAGUGAAGGAAUUAUUGAGAAGAAAGAUUAUUCGCAGGCAGCAUAAUAAAUCGUCCAACUAUUUCAAAACCAGUGAUCUAAGUCUGAGAAAGCUCGCAGAGGUGCAAAUAUUAAUAAAAACGCUCAAUUCUACAGGUCAAACAAAAGAAAGAGUUCAAGCAAGGUUGCGCAUGCUGAAAAAAGUGGUUCUUGAAUAUGAGUAUAAAAUUGUGCGAAUAUCGGAAAAAAAACGUUGAUAAAUUGAUUGAUAAGCAUGGCAAAAUCAGUCUCAAUGAGAAAGUGGCUAUCAGAGAGAUAUUCAAAUCUGCUAUACCCGAAGGUUUUUGCUGCGCUGAAUCCGAAUCUGACCUCAGAAAAAUUCCAUCACCCUCAGUUUUCGAGAUAAGAUUUUUCAUAGCCGAGAUAUGGCGGAUUCAAAUAUGAAAAAUUUCAC